rnacentral:rRNA from 1 species
UUGGGGGUGAAAGCCCGGGGCUNAACCUNGRAAAUUGCCUUCAAWACUGGCGACCUUGAGUAUGGGAGAGGUGAGUGGAACUCCGAGUGUAGCAGGUGAAAUUCGUAGAUAUUCGGAAGAACACCAGUGGCGAAGGCGACUCACUGGCCCAUUACUGACGCUGAGGCGCGAAAGCGUGGGGAGCAAACAGGAUUAGAUACCCUGGUAGUCCACGCCGUAAACGAUGAGUGCUAGUUGUCGGCAUGCWUGCAUGUCGGUGACGCAGCU